CCCAGCCGAUGGAUAGUCAGUAAAGAAUCAGAAUUACCUGGAAAGGUAAGCCGGAGAGGGUGACAGCCCCGUACGAGUAGAAAAGCUGACUGUUCUUGAGUAAGGCGGAGCACGAGAAAUUCUGUCUGAAAAUGGGGAGACCACUCUCCAAGGCUAAGUACUACUGAUUGACCGAUAGUGAACAAGUACCGUGAGGGAAAGGUGAAAAGCACCCCUAUAAGGGGAGUGAAAGAGAACCUGAAACCGGAUGCCUACAAGCAGUCGGAGGGUCUAUAAGGCCUGACGGCGUACCUUUUGUAUAAUGGGUCAGCGACUUAAUUUAUGUAGCAAGCUUAAGCCGAUAGGUGUAGGCGUAGAGAAAUCGAGUGUUAACAGCGCGUUAAGUUACAUGAAUUAGACCCGAAACCGAGUGAUCUAGCCAUGAUCAGGUUGAAGGUUGGGUAACACCAACUGGAGGACCGAACCCACUCCCGUUGAAAAGGUAGGGGAUGAAUUGUGGCUAGGGGUGAAAGGCCAAUCAAACUCGGAAAUAGCUGGUUCUCCGCGAAAACUAUUUAGGUAGUGCGGUGAGCGGACACCUUGAGGGGUAGAGCACUGGAAGAGCUAAGGGGGAGCGAUCCUUACUAAACUUUACCAAACUCCGAAUACUCAAGAGUGAUACUCACCAGACAGACAUUAGGUGCUAAGGUCUAGUGUCGAGAGGGAAAGAGCCCAGACCGCCAAUUAAGGUCCCAAAAUUAUGGCUAAGUGGUAAAGGAAGUGAAACGUCCAAAACAGUCAGGAGGUUGGCUUAGAAGCAGCCAUCCUUUAAAGAAAGCGUAAUAGCUCACUGAUCUAAACAAGACGUCUUGCGCCGAAGAUGUAACGGGGCUAAAGCCAUAUACCGAAGUUGCGGAUUUACACGUUAAAGUGUAAGUGGUAGCGGAGCGUUCUGUAAGCCUGCGAAGGUGUACCGUAAGGUAUGCUGGAGGUAUCAGAAGUGAGAAUGCUGACAUGAGUAGCGAAAAGAAGAGUGAGAGACUCUUCCGCUGAAAGUCCAAGGUUUCCUGCGUAAAGCUAAUCUGCGCAGGGUUAGUCGGUCCCUAAGGCGAGGCAGAGAUGCGUAGUCGAUGGCAAUCAGGUUAAUAUUCCUGAACCGGUCCGGAAGUGACGGAUUGAGUAAAUUGUAAGUUCUUAUUGGAUUGAGCUUGCAGUGAAUCAGUCCCAGGAAAUAGCCCGGGCUAAGACCGUACCCGAAACCGACACAGGUGGACAGGUAGAGAAUACCAAAGCGCUUGAGAGAACUAUGUUGAAGGAACUAGGCAAAAUACUUGCGUAACUUCGGGAUAAGCAAGCCCCAUUUUAAGGCAACUUAGGGUGGGGGGCACAUACUAGGGGGUAGCGACUGUUUACUAAAAACACAGGGCUCUGCUAAAUUGAAAGAUGAAGUAUAGGGUCUGACGCCUGCCCGGUGCUGGAAGGUUAAGGAGAGAUGUGCAAGCAUUGAACUGAAGCCCCAGUAAACGGCGGCCGUAACUAUAACGGUCCUAAGGUAGCGAAAUUCCUUGUCGGGUAAGUUCCGACCUGCACGAAUGGCGUAACGACUUCCCCGCUGUCUCCAACAUAGGCUCAGCGAAAUUGAACUCUGAGUUAAGAUGCUCAGUACCCGCGGUUAGACGGAAAGACCCCGUGAACCUUUACUAUAGCUUUGCAGUGGUAUUAGGUAACAAAUGUGUAGAAUAGGUGGGAUGCUAUGAAGCUACGACGCCAGUUGUAGUGGAGCAGACUUUGAAAUACCACCCUUUUGUUGUUUGAUAUCUAACCUGCUCCCGUUAUCCGGGAGAGGGACCCUGCAUGGUGGGUAGUUUGACUGGGGCGGUCGCCUCCCAAAGAGUAACGGAGGCGCGCAAAGGUUGGCUCAGAUUGGUCAGAAAUCAAUCGUCGAGUGCAAUGGCAUAAGCCAGCCUGACUGCGAGAGAGACAUUUCGAGCAGAUACGAAAGUAGGUCAUAGUGAUCCGGUGGUCCCGAGUGGAAGGGCCAUCGCUCAACGGAUAAAAGGUACUCCGGGGAUAACAGGCUGAU
rnacentral:rRNA from 1 species